AUGGGAACGCGAAGAACCUUACCUAGACUUGACAUCUCCUGAAUAGUGUAGAGAUACAUGAAGCCCUUCGGGGCAGGAAGACAGGUGGUGCAUGGUUGUCGUCAGCUCGUGUCGUGAGAUGUUGGGUUAAGUCCCGCAACGAGCGCAACCCCUAUUAUUAGUUGCUAACAUUAAGUUGAGCACUCUAGUGAGACUGCCCGGGGUUAACCGGGUAGGAAGGUGGGGAGUGACGUCAAAUCAUCAUGCCCCUUACUGUCUAGGGCUACACACGUGCUACAAUGGUGGGAACAAAGAGAUGCAAGACCGCGAGGUGGAGCUAAACUCAAAACCCCAUCCCAGUUCGGAUUGUAGGCUGAAACUCGCCUACAUGAAGCUGGAGUUGCUAGUAAUCGCGAAUCAGAAUGUCGCGGUGAAUACGUUCCCGGGUCUUGUACACACCG
rnacentral:rRNA from 1 species